UGAGGAAUAUUGGUCAAUGGCCGGAAGGCUGAACCAGCCAAGUCGCGUGCGGGAAGAAGGCCCUACGGGUCGUAAACCGCUUUUAUACGGGAAUAAAGUGAUGGACGUGUCCGUCAUUGUAGGUACCGUAAGAAUAAGGAUCGGCUAACUCCGUGCCAGCAGCCGCGGUAAUACGGAGGAUCCGAGCGUUAUCCGGAUUUAUUGGGUUUAAAGGGUGCGCAGGCGGCUUUUUAAGUUGCCGGUGAAAUGUCGGGGCUCAACUCCGUCACUGCCGGCGAUACUGGAAGGCUUGAGAAUGGAGGAGGAUUCCGGAAUGUGUGGUGUAGCGGUGAAAUGCAUAGAUAUCACACAGAACACCGAUUGCGAAGGCAGGAGUCCACACCAUAUCUGACGCUGAGGC
rnacentral:rRNA from 1 species